CAGAGGAUGGAGUUGGGGCAGGGAGCACAGGAGACAAAACUGAAGGGCCAUGGGGACCAUGCCAAGACGCCUAGCUGUAGAUGUUUGCCCUUGUGAAAUGGACUCAGGAUUUCCCUUCCAUUCUUGGAGAACCUUCAGGAAAUUUUAACAUAGGUUCAGUACGACAGGACGUGUGCUGAAGCAGGAAGAAAUCGGAGAAGAAGGAUACAUGCACUCUAUUGUUAUUCCUCGGUAGCAUACACGGAUGGCUCUGGACAGCUCAAUAAGGCAAGAAGAGGCUAUCAGAGGCAUGAGAGUGGGAAAGGAGCUUAACCUUGUGAGGUCGCCAUGGAACUGCUCAGCCUGAGCCACCCACUGUGCCCUGCCCAUUUUAUGUGACCAGCAGAGACCCUAGUAAUGGGAUUUUCUCUGCUCACGGAAGUACAGGCUAACUGUGGUUGACUGCUGACCCAACUUUAUGAGGACGAUUCAGAAACAGUAUUCUUGUUACACAGCAAACCUGCCCUUUCCCUGCCCUAAACUUGUUCAAGAGAAUGAGGCCUGAGACAUGGAGACUCUCACGAAGAAAGCGGCUUUAACUGUCCAGCACGGCGUUCUCCUUCGCAGCUUCAAGUAGAAACUUGGCCUUUGAGACCAUAAUGGAUGCCAACAAGCCCCUCUCUCCAAUCUGAGAGUUGGGGACCAAACCCAUAGCCUCACAUAUAAACAAGUGCUCUACAUUGAUCCACAUUUCCAGCCCUAGUUCAAGGAAAUUCUGGAGGAACAUGCCUUAAAACCAGAUUGUAUGGGAUUCCUGCAGCCAAAACUCUGCCAAAUAUGAGAUCACAGCUCCCAAAUUACAGAACAUACAAGCAACCAUUCCACCACAAGUCAGAGUCAGCAGAGCAACAAGAGAAUUCUCCACAGUACUGGCUAUGUUCUCUAAAUAAAGUGGCAGAAUAGAACAAGGCAAGAAUUCUAAGCAGAGAUAGAUGAGAAAAGAAGGUGGAGUCAGAGAGAUUCCAUGUAGCUGCUAAAGGAGACAGCUGCUCUGGAAGCUUACAGGUCUUGGUGGCCAGGAAAUGAACAAGCAGCUUCCAUCAACAAAAUGGCACCAAGGUGGGCAACUACGUCCACAUAAAACCUGAGAGAGCUUGAAAAGAAAUUCUAUACACAAAAAUACAGAGUUUAGCCCAG